GCAGAAAAUGCAGAAAAUGGAGGGGCCUGACCGCCUGACCCACCCCUUUUUUUUUGGCAUGCUCAACUUUUACAAACUUCUCAUUCAUCUUUCUUUUUCUCUCUCUUUUUUCUUUUCCUUUC
rnacentral:ribozyme from 1 species